rnacentral:rRNA from 1 species
AUGGCUCGUGGCGAUCAUCAAAUUGAUGAUGAUGAUUUCAUGGAUCCACCACAGCGUAAUCGGGCAACUGGACGGAGAAAAGAGGGUGAUGAGAAGAAGAAACAUAUUCGCAACAGAGCCUCCCAAGAACGACUGACUGCGUUGACUGACAAAUUCACCGACGAUCAGAAGGGAGCUGCUGCUGAGAUGGGUAUGCAGGCUAUGAUGGAUGCCCGGUGCACGAACCUUGUCAACCCUGUAUGCGACUGGUUUGGUGAGAUCUACCACCCCGCCUCCAGGGAAUUCGUGAUUCCGGGACGUGGAAGACUACCGUUGAACGAGGAAUCCGUGUUCUGUACUUUGGGUGUGCCUCGUGGACAUAUCAAAGUCCCGUACGAGGCCAUGACGACGCAUGGAGAUGUUUUCAAUAUGAAGCUACUCAUGUACCUCAUCUCAGCUGUUUUCACGCCGACCACUUCUCUUCGCCCAAGCAACAAAUGCUUCCCCAUCAUGGCGGACCUGAAAAAUGUGAAGAACAUGAAUUGGUGUAAGUUUAUUGCCGACUUCCUGCACGAUGCAUUCUCAAGCAAGAUGUACCAAAAGGGUUGUCGACUGCAUUUAAUGCUCAUGUAUGUCGACUGUCUUGAUCUGUCCACCGUGGAUUUCACUGGGAUAGGAGGCCCGCCGCCUACGCACAAGUUUGCUGUUUCUGUGUGGACUAUCAACGUUGUCAAGGCUGUGCUUGCCGCAGACAAGGUGACUGAUACAAAAUAUGGAAAACUGCAGCUGAUGGCCAAGCACGCUAUAGACUACAGCGUGUUUGGGGGGCCUCAAAACUUUGAAAAGUGGAUGGAUGUGCACUCAGCUCCAUCUUGCCCUACUAAGGCGAGGGCACCUAUUGAGCAUCUAAUUGGGCAGUUUGCAUCCGGAAUGAUCGGAUUGCUCGGGAAGUUGGUUGAGGGGUGGACGUCCCUCAGUGGUUCUGACAGCGACGCGGUUGCCAGUUCCCAAGAGCCCGGUGACACACAAGAUGAUCUAGAUGGAGACGCCGGCCUCAGCAAGGAUGACGACGAUGACAUGGAGAAUGUGCAACAGGACUCUGAUGAUGAUGAACAUGCUGAAGUUUGCGUAGGUGAUAACAAGGGCAAGGAUGCAACAGAUGUCCCCCCACCAGAGAAAGUCAAAGAACAUACGGCUGCGAGAGGCGAGGGGGUGUUGCCAUCAAGGAGGGGGAGGGCUCCAGAGGAUGUUGGGAGGGUUCUCCUGGCAAGAGGUCUAGGACCGAUCCCGUAG